rnacentral:rRNA from 1 species
GGUGGCUCGCUUCACGGCUUCCCUGCGGCACCAGACACGGUCGCGCCAUGCCUGACACCUNGCGAGCAUCGUUUACGGCUGGGACUACCCGGGUAUCUAAUCCGGUUCGUGCCCCCAGCUUUCGUCCCUCACCGUCGAACCCGUUCUGGUAAGACGCCUUCGCCACAGGUGGUCCCACAGGGAUUACAAGAUUUCACUCCUACCCCUGUAGUACCUCUUACCUCUCCCGGUUCCAAGUCUGGCAGUAUCCCCCGAAAGCCUAAUAGUUAAGCUAUCAGAUUUCCCGGAGGACUGACCAAACCGGCUACGGACCCUUUAGACCCAAUAAUCACGAUCACCACUCGGGCCGCCGGUGUUACCGCGGCGGCUGGCACCGGUCUUGCCCGGCCCUUGCUAACAGGUGUAUUUUACACACCCGGACAGCCAGCAUAUGAUGCUGGCACUCGGUGUCCCCUUAUCACGGUUUCCCGCAUUGUAAAGUUUU